CAAAGGAAUUGACGGGGCCGCACAAGCGGUGGAGCAUGUGGUUUAAUUCGACGCUACGCGAAGAACCUUACCUGGGCUUGAACUGCUGGUGGUAGAAGCCCGAAAGGGUGACGACCCGGAGCAAUCCGGGAGCCAGUAGAGGUGCUGCAUGGCUGUCGUCAGCUCGUGUCGUGAGAUGUUGGGUUAAGUCCCGCAACGAGCGCAACCCUUACCCUUAGUUGCCAGCGGGUAAUGCCGGGCACUCUAAGGGGACCGCCCCGGAUAACGGGGAGGAAGGCGGGGAUGACGUCAAGUCAGCAUGGCCCUUAUGUCCAGGGCUACACACGUGCUACAAUGGGCGAUACAGAGGGAAGCAAGGCCGCAAGGUAGAGCUAAUCCCUAAAGUCGUCCUCAGUUCGGAUUGCAGGCUGCAACUCGCCUGCAUGAAGUCGGAAUCGCUAGUAAUCGCGGAUCAGCUACGCCGCGGUGAAUACGUUCUCGGGCCUU
rnacentral:rRNA from 1 species